CUGGCUCAGAACGAACGCUGGCGGCGUGCUUAACACAUGCAAGUCGAACACGAAAGGGACUUCGGUCCUGAGUAAAGUGGCGCACGGGUGAGUAACGCGUAGAUAACCUGUCUUCAUGUCUGGAAUAAUACGCCGAAAGGGGUACUAAUACCGGAUAUUCUUGCUUUUCAUAAGUUAUGCAAGCAAAGGUGGCCUCUGCAUAUGCUACUGCAUGAAGAGGGGUCUGCGUACCAUUAGCUAGUAGGUGGGGUAAUGGCCUACCUAGGCGACGAUGGUUAGCGGGUCUGGGAGGAUGAUCCGCCACACUGGCACUGGAACACGGGCCAGACUCCUACGGGAGGCAGCAGUGAGGAAUAUUGCGCAAUGGGGGAAACCCUGACGCAGCGACGCCGCGUGAAGUGAGGAAGGCCUUCGGGUCGUAAAGCUCUGUCAAGAGGAAAGAAGUGUACAAUGGCUAAUACCUGUUGUAUUUGACGGUACCUCUAAAGGAAGCACCGGCUAACUCCGUGCCAGCCGCCGC
rnacentral:rRNA from 1 species